rnacentral:rRNA from 1 species
CCUGGUUGAUCCUGCCAGUAGCAUUUGCUUUUCUCAAAGAUUAAGCCAUGCACAUGUAAGUACAGUGAAACUGCGAAUUGUUCAUUAAAUCAGUUAUGAUUCCUUUGAUUGCUUCAUCUGUUACUUUGAUAACUGUGGUAAGUCUAGAGCUAAAACAUGCCGACGAGUGCGGACCUCCCGGGAUGCGUGCAUUUAUCAUACCAAGACCAAUCGGGGCCGAUUGCACGUCCCCAUGACGGCGACAAUGCAUUCGGAUGUCUGCCCUAUGUUCUUUUCUGUUCCGGAGAGCGAACCUGAGAAACUGUUGCCACAUACAAGGAAGGCAGCAGGCGCUUAAAUUACCCACUCCCGACUCCGGGAGGUAGUGACGAAAAAUAACCAUACAGGACUCUUUUGAGGCACUGUAAUUGGAAUGAGUACACUUUUUAAAUCCUUUAACGAGUACCCAUUGGAGGGCGAAUCUGGUGCCAGCAGCCUUAGUAAUUCCAGCUCCAGUAGCGUAUGUUAACGUUGCUGCAGUUAAAAAGCUCUUAGUUGGAUCUUGGGAUCGAGCUGGCGGUCCGCCGCGAGGUGAGCUACCGCCUACCGCCUGUCCCAGGUCCUGCCCCUCGGCGCCCCCUUGAUGCUCUUGACUGAUUGUCCUGGGAGUCCGAAGCAUUUACUUUGAAAAAGAGUGUUCAAAGCAGACCGGUCGCCUGGAUACUUCAGCUAGGAGUGAUGGAAUAGGACUUGGGUUCUAUUUUGUUGGUUUUCUGAACUGGGGCUAUGAUUAAGAGGGACGGCCGCGUGUUGUGCUGCUACAGGUGAAAUUCCUGGACCGGCGCAAGACAAACCAAAGCGAAAGCAUUACCCAAGAAUGUUUCAUUAAUCAAGAACGAUAGUCUGAUGUUCGAAGACGAUCCGGUACUGUCGUAGUUCCGACCAUAAACGAUGCCGACUAGCGAUCUGGCGGCGUUAUUCGCAUGACCCACCGAGCAGCUUCUGGGAAACCAAAUUCUUUGAGUUCUGGGGGAGUAUGGUUGCAAAGCUGAAACUUAAAGGAAUUGAUGGAAAGGCACCAACAGGAGUGGAGCCUGCAGCUUAAUUUGACUCCACACCAGAAACCUCGCCCGGACACGGAAAGGAUUGACUGAUUGAUGGCUCUUUCUCGAUUCUGUGGGUGGUGGUGCAUGGCGUUCUUAGUUGGAGGAGCGAUUUGUCUGGUUAAUUUCGAUAACGAACGAGACUCCUCCAUGCUAACCAGUUGCGUGACCCACCAGCGGUCGGCGGUCAACUUCUUAGAGGGACAAGUGGCGUUCAGCCACACGGGAUUGAGCAAUAACAGGACUGUGAUGCCCUUAGAUGUCCGGAGCUGCACGCGCGCUACACUGAAUGGAUCAGCGUGUCUACCCUUCGCCGACAGGUGUGGCUAACCCGCUGAACCCUGUUCAUGCUAGGGUCUGGGGAUUGCAAUAAUUUCCCAUGAAGGAGGAAUUCCCAGUGUGGGUCAUAAGCUUGCGUAGAUUAAGUCCCUGCUGUUUUUUUACACACUGCACAUCGCUACUACCGAUUGGCUGGUUUAGUGAGGUCCUCGGAUCGGCCCCGCCGGGUUCGGCAAUCGCCCUGGCGGAGCAGUGAGAAGACAAUCAAACUUGACUAUCUAGAGUAAGUAAAAGUCGUAUGGAUUGGGUUAACCUGCCAGGGACUC